AUAAUAAUUAGUCUUUUAAUUGAAGGCUGGUAUGAAUGAUUGAACGAGAUAUAUACUGUCUCAAUUAAAAUAGUAUUUAAAUUUAAUUUUUAAGUUAAAAAGCUUAAAUUUUAUUAAAGGACGAGAAGACCCUAUAGAGCUUUAUAAUUUUAAUUUAAUAGAUUUUAAUUUUAUUUUAUUAUUAUAAAAUUAUUUUGUUGGGGCGACAGGAAAAUUUUUUAAACUUUUUUGAUUUUAAAACAUUGAUUUAUGAUUUUUUGAUCC
rnacentral:rRNA from 1 species